UCACCGGAUAAUUUGUUGUUUGAGAGAUCCAUACUCCGAACAAAAUUAAGGAUGGUGCUAUAUUCAAUCAUUUGUCCCUUUUUCAUAAUUGAGGAACUCCCAUAGAAUGACCCAUUAUCAUCAAUGAAAAUGGAAAUUAGGCCUCCCAUAUCAUAGGUUUCAUAUACCAUUUCACUGAAGUUAUCGACACAUGUUGGUAUUUUACCACUGAGGUUGUUAUUAGCUAGAUCCAAGAUUCUUAAAGAAG
rnacentral:misc_RNA from 1 species